UACGAAGGGGGCUAGCGUUGCUCGGAAUCACUGGGCGUAAAGCGCACGUAGGCGGAUUGUUAAGUCGGAGGUGAAAUCCUGGAGCUCAACUCCAGAACUGCCUUUGAUACUGGCAAUCUCGAGUCCGGAAGAGGUAAGUGGAACUCCGAGUGUAGAGGUGAAAUUCGUAGAUAUUCGGAAGAACACCAGUGGCGAAGGCGGCUUACUGGUCCGGUACUGACGCUGAGGUGCGAAAGCGUGGGGAGCAAACAGG
rnacentral:rRNA from 1 species